rnacentral:rRNA from 1 species
AGAGUUCGAUCCUGGCUCAGGAUGAACGCUGGCGGCGCGCCUAACACAUGCAAGUCGAACGGCACCCCUCUCCGGAGGGAAGCGAGUGGCGAACGGCUGAGUAACACGUGGAGAACCUGCCCCCUCCCCCGGGAUAGCCGCCCGAAAGGACGGGUAAUACCGGAUACCCCGGGGUGCCGCAUGGCACCCCGGCUAAAGCCCCGACGGGAGGGGAUGGCUCCGCGGCCCAUCAGGUAGACGGCGGGGUGACGGCCCACCGUGCCGACAACGGGUAGCCGGGUUGAGAGACCGACCGGCCAGAUUGGGACUGAGACACGGCCCAGACUCCUACGGGAGGCAGCAGUGGGGAAUCUUGCGCAAUGGGGGGAACCCUGACGCAGCGACGCCGCGUGCGGGACGGAGGCCUUCGGGUCGUAAACCGCUUUCAGCAGGGAAGAGUCAAGACUGUACCUGCAGAAGAAGCCCCGGCUAACUACGUGCCAGCAGCCGCGGUAAUACGUAGGGGGCGAGCGUUAUCCGGAUUUAUUGGGCGUAAAGCGUGUGUAGGCGGUUUGUUAAGUUUAAGAUUAAAGCCCGGGGCUCAACUCCGGUAAGUCUUAAAAACUGGCAGGCUUGAGUACGGUAGAGGCAAACGGAAUUUCUAGUGUAGCGGUGAAAUGCGUAGAUAUUAGAAGGAACACCAGUGGCGAAAGCGGUUUGCUGGGCCGUUACUGACGCUGAGGCACGAAAGCGUGGGGAGCAAAUAGGAUUAGAUACCCUAGUAGUCCACGCCGGUUAUGCGUGGCGAGUGCAGCAUCGAGGAUAUCAAGUUCCACAAUCCGGAAGAUGGCAACUACUACGGAAAACCGGUUGUUCGUCAGGAUGCACUUGGUAAAGUCUGUGGCCUGACCGACUACGGCGAUGAUCAGGCUCUUAAGAUGCCGCAGGGCGUUUUAUAUGCAGCUAUCGUUCAGCCGAAGGUUACCCAUCAUGCAAAGAUUCUGGCUAUCCAUACUGAGGAAGCUGAGAAGAUGCCGGGCGUUGUUAAGGUUAUCACAGCAAAAGACCUCAUCGCAGCAGGCGGAACUAACAUCAUGGCUGAGGGUCAGUUCCAUGAGAGAAGUACUGUUAUGACACCAUCCCGUAAAGUUCUUCAGGAUGAGAAGAUCU